rnacentral:rRNA from 1 species
GAUGAACGCUGGCGGCGUGCCUAAUACAUGCAAGUCGAGCGAACGGACGAGAAGCUUGCUUCUCUGAUGUUAGCGGCGGACGGGUGAGUAACACGUGGAUAACCUACCUAUAAGGCUGGGAUAACUUCGGGAAACCGUAGCUAAUACCGGAUAAUAUUUUGAACCGCAUGGUUCAAAAGUGAAAGACGGUCUUGCUGUCACUUAUAGAUGGAUCCGCGCUGCAUUAGCUAGUUGGUAAGGUAACGGCUUACCAAGGCAACGAUGCAUAGCCGACCUGAGAGGGUGAGCGGCCACACUGGAACUGAGACACGGUCCAGACUCCUACGGGAGGCAGCAGUAGGGAAUCUUCCGCAAUGGGCGAAAGCCUGACGGAGCAACGCCGCGUGAGUGAUGAAGGUCUUCGGAUCGUAAAACUCUGUUAUUAGGGAAGAACAUAUGUGUAAGUAACUGUGCACAUCUUGACGGUACCUAAUCAGAAAGCCACGGCUAACUACGUG